AUUGAACGCUGGCGGCAGGCCUAACACAUGCAAGUCGAACGAGUGGCGGACGGGUGAGUAAUGUCUGGGAAAAUGCCCGAUGGCGGGGGAGAACGACUGGAAACGGUAGCUAAUACCGCAUACCAACGGAUGUGCACAGAUGUGAUUAGCUAGUAGGUGGGGUAACGGCUCAACUAGGCGACGAUCCCUAGCUGGUCUGCGAGGAUGACCAGCCACACUGGAACGGGGACACGGUCCAGACUCCUACGGGAGGCAGCAGUGGGUAAUAUUGCACAAUGGGCGCAAGCCUGAUGCAGCCAUGCCGCGUGUAUGAAGAAGGCCUUCGGGUUGUAAAGUACUGUCAGCGAGGAGGCGUUACUCGCAGAAGAAGCACCGGCUAACUCCGUGCCAGCAGCCGCGGUAAUUC
rnacentral:rRNA from 1 species